UAGUUUUGUCAUAAGUCAAACUAUCUCAAGUUUGACCAAGUUUAUAAGGAAGGACAUCAACUUUUAUGAUACAAAAAUAUAUUUCAUAGCAAAUCUAGUGAUACUUAUUUGGUAUCAUAAGUCCUUGUACAAUUUUAUAUAAACUUGGUCAAACUUAAGAUUGUUUGACUUAGGACAAAACUAUA
rnacentral:pre_miRNA from 1 species